GUAACAACACUACUCUGAAGCAAAAAAUAGAAAGUGACUUGGCAGCUGCUCAACUUUAUGCAAACACAUUUUAAACCUAAUACUAACGUGUUCGUUUAAGCUGGUAUUUUCUCUCAUUUUGGUUUUCAGAUUCUCGUUAUAGUUACAGGAUUACACUUUUUAAAUAUGCUUAGUGUCAUUAAAUCAAAUCUUUGUGCAAGGAUAUAGGACACAAGUAGACAAAUCAAAUUUCUAGUUCUGUUCGGAGGAAAAAUUGGAGGUAGAGGAAAUGUUGAUUCAGUCAAUCCUGUUCAUUAGAAGAGAAGCAACAAAGAGUAAGAAGGAAAAAAGAUGGGCAUUGCUAGUGAUAUAUUGAAUGCAGGGAAAUAUCAUAGCAAUGCAAUGUCAACGUGGGUACAAGAUUGAAGCUGAAGAUGAAGACGCUGCAUAAGCUGUUGUGGUAUUCGAAGAAUCGGUGUUGUCUCUGUUCACUGAAUAAUGACUGCAAUAUGUCGGCACAGGCAUGUUUGGAGGGAGGGUGGGCAAUGGAGCUUCAAAAUUAAGGACAUGAAUUGCUUGCCUAAUAGAAGGCCUGCAUUUGCUAUCUGGAUGAGCACACCAUAAACCAACAAUUAGUAAGUGCUUCGUCUCCAUUUCAUUGAACUCUGAUAAGAGUUUAGGAUCAGCUGCUUCAUUAAGAUUUCCCAUCCCGUAAAGGCUCCAAACCCAAUCAACAAGUUUUACUUGAUCUUCUUCAGCUUUAGGAUCAAUAGCUUUCCUUCCACAAGCUAUUUCUAACGCGACAACUCCAAAGCUAUAGACAUCUGUUUCCUUGCUAGCUUUGCCAGUGAUGAAACAUUCCGGGGCCAUGUAGCCCCUUGUACCUGCCAAAACUGUUGUUUGGGAUCCUUUUUCAUGGUCAACUAGUCUAGCUAAACCAAAAUCCCCAAGUUUGGCAUUGAAAUUGGAAUCCAACAUAAUAUUGCUCGACUUUAUGUCCCUAUGCACCACACAUUGUUCCCAUUCUUCGUGUAGAUACAGCAGCGUAGAGGCCAAGCCUUGAGCAAUCUUGUAUCUUAUUGGCCAUGUCAAAUGGCUUUUUCCUUUGAAAAGAUGGAAAUCUAAGCUUCCAUUAGGCAUAAACUCAUAGACAAGUAGAAGUUCUCUUUUCUCAUGGCACCAGCCAAUGAGUUGCACUAGAUGUCUAUGUCUUAGCCGGCUGAUGAUACUCACUUCUGAUGCAUACUCUUUUAUUCCUUGCUUUGACUCCCUUGAAACCCUCUUAACAGCAACAUAGGAAUUCAAUUCCCUGAGAUAUCCUUUAUAAACACCUCCAAACCCACCCUCCCCGAGCUUAUUUUCCUGCGCAAAGCUAUUUGUACAUCUAGCCAACUCUCUGUAAAGGAACUUCUUUGGUCCUGUGCUUCUUUCAAAUUCAUGAGUCAUAGAUCCAUCAAAGAUGUCAUUGUCUUCAUCUUCUCUCAACUUCCUCUUUCUCCAAAAUGCAAACAGCAUCAAAACACAUACAAAAACCAAAACACAACCACCAGAAACCAAUCCAACCACAAGUCCUAACUUGUUUUUACUCUGUGCAUGCUCUGGCUUGGGUCUUGGUAAGACUACUCCUGGAUUUGUUAUGUUGUCGUUAACUUCUAAUGAAGAAGUAAAGUUCCAAGAAUAGAUACUUUGUAAUGCAAAGACAAGUCCAGCUCCACCUGUGAAGCCAAAAGUGACCCAUUCAGGCAAGUAUUCUCUCAGAUCGAGAUUGUGAGAUAGGCUUUGCAGGACAGUGACAGUGGAAUUAUCUUUGAAACCGGUGAAGACAACAGUAAGAUUUUUUGAAGUCGAGUUAUAGCUAAUCCAGGCAUCAGUUCUCCUACCAUUCGGAAUGCUACUAAACCAGGUCACAUUAACAACAGAUUGCAUAGAGUUGAUAUCAAUACCUACAUGAUCA
rnacentral:lncRNA from 1 species